UUUCUCAAAAAAAAAAAGGCUCGUCCCAACCGAUUCGUGUUAGGGUCGCCGCCGCCGCCGCCGGCCAAGCCACCCAUCCCCAACUCAUGGCGGCGGCGAGGAUCUGGUGGGGCGAUGCAGUUCCUUCUAAAGUGAAUCAGUGGUGAAAUCCAUCUAUGUAUGAAACAAGAAAAAAAAAAUGCUGGUCUUUCGUGUUUGUUUUCAUUUCUAGCCCCGAGUUGCUAUCUGCGUGCUGCAUCCGACGGACUAUCGUGAUAGUCUUCGGGAUCUGAGGGAAUACAUGUGCCAGGGAUGCUUUCCUUGGAGAAAUCAGGCAAACCUGCAGGUGGGGCAACAAGCGACACCAAUUUAUCAAGACCCCUCUGUUGCUGGAUUAAUGAAUGGUCCACAUGUUGAUUACGACAAUAAUCCAGCUCCUAACAGUGGGAGAAACAUUCUGGGAGCAAUUCAAGUAGAUCAAAUGGCAAUGCAGCACGAGGGACAAUAUUUAGACCCCCAUGUUGGACUUACAAAUGGUCUACAUGCUGAUUACACCAUCAAUCUAGCUUCUAAUACUGAGGGAUUGUUUAUGGGAGGAAACCAAUCAAACCUGCCUAUGGAGCAAUAUUUUGAACCAGUUCAUCCAGAGCCCAGUGUUGGUGGAUUUAUGGAUGGUUCACAUGUUUAUUACACCAAUAAUCUGUCUUCUAACAGUGGGACAAACAUUCUGGGAGCAAAUCAAGCAGAACAGAUGGCAGUGCAGCAUGAGGGACAGUAUUUAGCUUGCAAUAUUUCUAGAUUCGUGAAUGGUUCACAGCCUGACUGCACCACUAAUCCAGUUCCUAACAGUGAUGUAAUUGAAUUUUCCAUUCACAAACUAGAACAAGAUACUCCUAGAGUUGAACUUUUGUGUAGCCACUAUGUUUACCUACAUGUGAUAACUUAAGUUUUAUUCUCCAGUAUUAAGAGAUAAAGAUGUUUUAUUAAGUCAAUUUUGGUUCUUACAUGCUUUCAUUGGUUUGCUGGUUGUGGAGUUAGAUAGGAAAACUUAAUUCAGAAAUCGUGUUGCGAACUAAGGUAUCAAGUCCUUCGAUGUUCUGGUGCACUGAGGUAAACACCAUGCAAUUCGAUUUGAGAAGGUAGAAUGAGGCUGUUAGCACGGAGGACUACUAGCCUACAGACACAUUAGAUAUUGUGCAUCCCGUUCGUAACAUGUUAUAAGAUUACUGAAAAUAUUGUCAAGUGAUAUUAUCUCAACCCCAUGUGUUGCCCUACAAGUCUUGCUAGCUCAAAGAGAGAACCAGCAAUGCAUGCCCUUCUCCAGUAGAGAAAACUUAUGCUUUGCAAGUUCUGGAAAGCACUAUCAUGCUGAAACAGAAACACAGAUGACUCUGCCAUCCAACAGUUACCCUCUGAAUGAUAACAUGUAUUGUAUGACAUGGGAAACUAACAUGACUAAUGACAACGAGUCAUCACUGGAGCCUUUUACCCCGUGGGAGGAAUUUUAUACAGCAUCUGCAUAUGAUCAUACUCAAGAUGGACAUUAAUCAUCCCCUGG